GUGGUCAGUGAUGGUCAGUGAUGGUCAGUGAUGGUCAGUGAUGGUCAGUGAUGGUCACUCAUGGUCAGGGAUGGUCAGUGAUGGUCAGUGAUGGUCAGUGAUAGUGAUGGGUGGUCAGUGAUGGUCAGGGAUGGUCAGUGAUGGUCAUGGGUGGUCAGUGAUGGUCAGUGAUGGUCAGUG